UGCCAGCAGCCGCGGUAAGACGUAGGAUGCAAGCGUUGUUCGGAAUUACUGGGCGUAAAGCGCACGUAGGCGGACUUUUAAGUCAGAUGUGAAAUCCCGGGGCUCAACCUCGGAACUGCAUUUGAAACUGGAAGUCUGGAGUUCAGGAGAGGUUAGCGGAAUACCGAGUGUAGAGGUGAAAUUCGUAGAUAUGUGGAGGAAUACCGGUGGCGAAGGCGACUAACUGGACUGAUACUGACGCUGAGGUGCGAAAGUGUGGGGAGCAAACAGGAUUAGAUA
rnacentral:rRNA from 1 species